rnacentral:rRNA from 1 species
UACGGAGGGGACUAGCGUUGUUCGGAAUUACUGGGCGUAAAGCGCACGUAGGCGGAUUUGCUAGUCAGGGGUGAAAUCCCGAGGCUCAACCUCGGAACUGCCUUUGAUACUGCAAAUCUCGAGUCCGGAAGAGGUGAGUGGAAUUCCUAGUGUAGAGGUGAAAUUCGUAGAUAUUAGGAAGAACACCAGUGGCGAAGGCGGCUCACUGGUCCGGUACUGACGCUGAGGUGCGAAAGCUGGGGGAGCAAACGGG